UGGCCUUGACAUGCAGAGAACUUUCCAGAGAUGGAUUGGUGCCUUCGGGAACUCUGACACAGGUGCUGCAUGGCCGUCGUCAGCUCGUGUCGUGAGAUGUUGGGUUAAGUCCCGUAACGAGCGCAACCCCUAUCCCUAGUUGCUAGCAGUUCGGCUGAGAACUCUAGGGAGACUGCCGGUGACAAACCGGAGGAAGGUGGGGAUGACGUCAGGUCAUCAUGGCCCUUACGGCCAGGGCUACACACGUGCUACAAUGGUGCGCACAGAGGGCUGCAAACCCGCGAGGGGGAGCCAAUCUCACAAAACGCAUCGUAGUCCGGAUCGCAGUCUGCAACUCGACUGCGUGAAGUCGGAAUCGCUAGUAAUCGUGAAUCAGAAUGUCACGGUGAAUACGUUACCCGGGCCU
rnacentral:rRNA from 1 species